rnacentral:rRNA from 1 species
GACGAACGCUGGCGGCGCGCUUAACACAUGCAAGUCGAGCGGGAACCGGGCCUUCGGGCCCGGGGACAGCGGCGAACGGGUGAGUAACACGUGGGUAAUCUGCCCUCGGUACUGGGAUAGCCCGGGGAAACCCGGAUUAAUACCGGAUGGCCCUUCGAGUCUUCGGACCCGAAGGAAAAGGUAGCUUCGGCCUCCGACCGAGGAUGAGCUCGCGGCGGAUUAGCUUGUUGGUGGGGUAACGGCCUACCAAGGCGACGAUCCGUAGCUGGUCUGAGAGGACGAUCAGCCACACUGGGACUGGGACACGGCCCAGACUCCUACGGGAGGCAGCAGUGGGGAAUCUUGCGCAAUGGGCGAAAGCCUGACGCAGCGACGCCGCGUGAGGGAAGAAGGCCUUCGGGUUGUAAACCUCUUUCAGGAGGGACGAAGCCACUCGGGUUAAUAGCCCAGAGGGUGACGGUACCUCCAGAAGAAGCCCCGGCUAACUACGUGCCAGCCGCCGCGGUAACAC